UUCGUUCACAGGCACAAAUGGCAGGAGGCCCGGGUGUGUGAGGAUGAAUACCAAGGGCUGUGCUGCCCUCCUUAUCAGUCUCAGGACCAGGAACCUUUGUUUGUUUACUCUCUUAGAUAAACUCUUGAAUCCUUGGGAAUGCUUCAAUAAAUCUGUUUUCCUAAAUACUUCCUUCUUGUUUAUAGAACACCUUCAAAGGAUGUGACAGCUUGUUGCAGACAGAAACAACGCCUCACUCCUAGCAAACCCCGUCUUCUUCCCUCGCCCCAAAAUAGUUCUUGAAAAUGUGAAAGCCCGCUAGUACUGAUCUCAAGGCUUAGCUGACGUGGACAAGCCUCGCUGAGAUUCCUUUGGGGAAGAGCUUCUGAAGGAGAAACAUCCUCGCUUGGAACCAGUAGUCAUCAGUCCCAGGAGAAUUGCCACAGGAGUUCUUUCAGAAGUCAAUGCAAUACCAGAGAGGCAGCGAAUCAGUAAUUCUGGUACUGAGCCUUUUCCUCUUCCGGAGCCUCACGCACGUUCCUGGUAUGGUCAAGGAGGAUGGCAUCCUUGAUCCAGGCAACACAAGGAUUCCGAUGGCACAGACUGGGGCCAGGCUAACUGACUGAGGGUGUGGCAUCCCUGAGAAGACGGAUGGAACUUCUGCCACAUCCACAUUCUUCUGGUGAUUAAGAGCAAUAAAUGCUUAUUCUUGGAGGUUUGAUUCAAUUCUACAAACAGCCGAAAAUCUUUCUCAACCAGUAUUUGUGAACAAUAUGUGUGAUGAAGUUUGGUAACGUGGGAGUUCUUUGGAGGGAGAGGGAAAAUUGUUUGGAGUUUUUUUCCAUAAUGCAAUAAAACUAAAUUUUCUUUCGUGAUUUGUAAAAUGAUCCUAAAGGAGAAAUGUAAGUAAGAGAAGUUUAUCAUUGAUUUUAAUUCCAGUUAAUCAGGGUUUCUCUGCAAUGGAGAAAUAUUUGAAAAAAAGUCUUCCCUCUAUUGUCCGUUUUAGCAUACAUUUUUCAGAAGGACAAUGUCUAAUUUUAUUUUCUGCAAUUUGAUUUCUACAGAAAAAUUAGAAUUUUUUUGAGAAAAUUAAGCUUAUCAAAGUUUUUGAAAAUGUGACUCAUGAGAACAGGUUAAAGGAGGUGGGUUUAGUUUAAAUGAGAACAUGCUGAGAGUGUGUCAAGUGGUGACCCCCCAGGACGCAGGCUUGGGUGGGGAAACGAGGUGGGCAGGAGAGCUGGAACUAUAACUCUGCAUUGUCACUGAGCGCAGAAUAAUGGCACUGUGCACGAACACAAAUGACAGUUAUGGAAAAUUGAGCCCCUAUGAGGAGAGCAGUUUCCAUCCUAGGAAACACUUAGCUGCUUGCUGAGCCCCUGAAUGGGUCUGGGGAGGACCAAGGUAAGCCCAGAGUAGAAUUUGAAGGUGACAGCUGAGAGGAGGUCCCUCUGCCUGAGAGCGUGGGAUUGCUUUGGCAAGUAAUGAGGACCAGAGGAGAGAGGUGGACAGAGAGAGAUGAUAAGAGGUGGGGUUCCAAGUGGCAGAAAUGGCUCAGAUGCUUUUAGAAACUAGAACGUCUAACCUGAGAUAUUGAGAAUUGUUUCAAAAUUUUGACUUCAACACGGGUUUGAACAGCGGAGCAUGGGGUCACUGCGAGCAUGGUGAACUGGCUGCCACAUCAGUCUUUCAACUCCCCAUGCUGUUUUCUACAAAUGGAUUUUUCAUGAGUUUGGAGAGGAAAUUUUUUGAAAAGAACUGCCUUCCAUAUCUAGGUUCAAGUAGCAGAAACUAGAAGACGAGGGAAAAUGAUCUAUAAAUGGACUAGUUAAGCAAAGUUAGAACCGGAAGCCAGGACGCACCGUCAAAAUUGAACCACCCCAGGAAUGUUCGUCUGUCAUUCUUGAAAGGAGUGUACUAACACCUGCUGUUCAUGAUAUCCUCGGAAACCUUAAUGACCCACUCUUGAAUAUACAUCUCAGAAGAAUGUAAUGAUACAUUUGGUGUACAAGGUUCUGGAGAUAACCUUCUCAAACUCCAGGAAGGAGCAACCAAACUCAUCACUCUGAGCAAGAAGGAGGAUUGAGGAAUUGAGUCCACUAUUGGGCUAGGCAAGCUUAUCUGACUCCGCACACCAUCCAGAGCCAGUUCUUCGGGACACAGUAUGCAGGGAGCAGCUGAUAUGUGUGCGUGCUGUUGCUGGGUGUGGUACCUGCAGGGGUCCUGAAGUCACAAGGGAGAGAAACAACAAAGAAUCGUCACCCAUAUGGGGCACUUCUAUGGCAGCCUUUAAGGGCUGGAGCCCUAAGAAGAGGAAGAGACACCAGAACUCUCUCUUUGCACAGGUGAGGACACAGCCAGAAGGCGGCCACCUACACGCCAGGAAGAAAGCCCUCACCAGGAUGUUCUAGCAGAUUAUGAGCCAUCGAGGGAAAACAUCAUCAUGACCUUCCUCUCAGUUUUAAACAUGUUUCCUGAAAGAAUCUAGGGAUAGUAACUAUUUAUCAAUACCUACUUGACUUCCCUCUUUGUUUUUAUUUUUUUUUCCUUUCAAUCCCUUCUCAAGCGUGCAGAAUCAGUCUGCCUUUGGAGCAGGGAUCUGUCGUUUGUCUGGUGCAGAUCAUCUUCUGGACUGUAAGCUUGUUGAUGACACACCACGUCAGAUUUCUAUAGAAUUUCUCCCAGCAUCAAGCCAACAUUGUUUGGAGCACAAAUGCAUUCAUAAGUAAAUAGUGGACUGAAUCUAAGAUGAGGUAAUUCCACCAAAUA